rnacentral:lncRNA from 1 species
UUUGAUACUGUUAAACCCAGUUCUUAGACCAGAGUAUUCAUGUUAGUCGAUGGAUUUUUUUCUUUCAAUUGAUGGUGGUUUUUGAUGUCAUAAUUUAUCUUGAAUUUGUCUUUUUUAUUUACUUUUAUAUAUUAUAUUUGUUUUUAUAAAAAAAAAGUCAUCAAAAUUUUUACAUUAACAAAGAAACUUAAAAUCUCACAUUAAAUAAACUCUUUAGCAACUUAAUUGAUCUCUAUUGUUAACAUUAUGGGUGGACAAGAACUGGUAACCCGGUCCAAAC